GGGCGAUUAGCUCAGUGGUAGAGCACCGCCUUCACACGGCGGGGGUCGUAGGUUCGAACCCUACAUCGCCCA
rnacentral:tRNA from 1 species